rnacentral:rRNA from 1 species
ACGGGAGGCAGCAGUGGGGAAUAUUGCACAAUGGGGGAAACCCUGAUGCAGCGACGCCGCGUGAGUGAAGAAGUAUUUCGGUAUGUAAAGCUCUAUCAGCAGGGAAGAAAAUGACGGUACCUGACUAAGAAGCCCCGGCUAACUACGUGCCAGCAGCCGCGGUAAUACGUAGGGGGCAAGCGUUAUCCGGAUUUACUGGGUGUAAAGGGAGCGCAGACGGCUUUGCAAGUCUGAUGUGAAAGGCAGGGGCUCAACUCCUGGACUGCAUUGGAAACUGUAGGGCUAGAGUGUCGGAGAGGUAAGCGGAAUUCCUAGUGUAGCGGUGAAAUGCGUAGAUAUUAGGAGGAACACCAGUGGCGAAGGCGGCUUACUGGGCGAUCACUGACGUUGAGGCUCGAAAGCGUGGGGAGCAAACAGGAUUAGAUACCCUGGUA